GUGCGGCGGGUUAGGCUUUGGUUUGGGCUCCGGCUUGGGUUCAGGCUUUGGUUUUGGUUCAGGCUUAGGCUCCGGUUUGGGUUCUGGUUUCGGCUUGGGCUCGGGCUUUGGUUCAGGUUUAGGCUUAGGCUCAGGCUUAGGUAGUGGUUCGGGUUUUGGUUCCGGCUUCGGCUCAGGCUUAGGCUCGGGUUUUGGUUUGGGCUCGGGCUUAGGCUCUGGUUUGGGUAGUGGUUCUGGUUUUGGUUCUGGCUUGGGCUCGGGCUUAGGCUCUGGUUUGGGCAGUGGCUCUGGCUUUGGCUCUGGUUUUGGCAAUGGUUUGGGCUUUGGUUCCGGCUUGGGCUCAGGCUUAGGCUCUGGUUUUGGUAGUGGUUCAGGUUUUGGUUCCGGCUUGGGUUCAGGCUUAGGCUCGGGCUUUGGUUCCGGCUUGGGCUCAUGCUUAGGUUGCAGUGGUUCGGGUAUGGGUUCUGUGCUUGGGUUCAGGCUUAGUGCUCGGUGCUUUGGGUAUCGUGCUUGGGCUCAGGCUUAGGCUCCGGUAUCGGCAUCGGUUCGGGCUUUGGUUCUGGCUAGGGCUCAGGCUUAGGCUCAGGUUUUGGUUUUGGCAUGGGCUCAGGUUUUGGUUCAGGCUUAGGCUCCGGCUUAGGCUCAGGCUUAGGUUUUGGUUCUGGCUUGGGCUCCGGUUUUGGCAGUGGUUCAGGCUUGGGCUCAGGCUCGGGUUUUGGUUCAGGCUUAGGCUCAGGUUUUGGCUUUGGCUCAGGCUUUUUUGGCUUUGGCUUUGGUUCAGGCAUAGGCUUGGGCAUCG
rnacentral:lncRNA from 1 species